rnacentral:rRNA from 1 species
GACGAACCGUGCGAACGUUAUUCGGAAUCACUGGGCUUAAAGCGCGUGUAGGCGGGACGGCACGUCGGUCGCUGAAAUCCCCCGGCUUAACCGGGGAACGGGCGCCGAUACGACCGCCCUGGAGGGACGUAGGGGGAGCUGGAACUUCCGGUGGAGCGGUGAAAUGCGUUGAGAUCGGAAGGAACGCCCGUGGCGAAAGCGAGCUCCUGGACGUUUUCUGACGCUGAGACGCGAAAGCCAGGGGAGCGAACGGG